UACGUAGGAUGCAAGCGUUGUCCGGAAUUAUUGGGCGUAAAGAGCGCGCAGGCGGUAUGACAAGUCAGAUGUGAAAGAGGCCGGCUUAACCGGCAAGGGUCAUUUGAAACUGUCAGACUAGAGUGCAGCAGAGGAUAGUGGAAUUCCCGGUGUAGUGGUGAAAUGCGUAGAUAUCGGGAGGAACACCUGUGGCGAAGGCGGCCCCCUGGGCCGGCCCUGACACUGAGACGCGAAGGCGUGGGGAGCGAACGGG
rnacentral:rRNA from 1 species